CUAUAAUGCAUGUACCGAUGUUUAUAGUGGAUAUUGUUCAGACUCUAAAAUAUGCAACUCGUUAGGAGGGCAAGUGGAGACACUGUCAGUAAGAUGUCAAUGUGGUAAAGCAUGUUGCAAAUGUACUGACACAUGUCCUGUUGGUUCUACAUGUAUGAGUGAAGGUGAAACCUGUGAUGGAGUGAAAGAUACAAACGGUUGUUGUGGCAACAGGUUUUGUUGUACUCCUACUGCAACAACGACACCAGAGACAACUACACCAUGUGGUGUAACCAAUUGUCCAGGUGAAUGUUGUCCGGUCAGUUGUCAGCAAGGUAAUGAACAGGAAGAAUAUUGCUGUGAACAAGCUGGAUUUGUAUGCUG